GGAACAAACCAAACGGACAAGAGAAGCGGAGCGAGGCAUGGCGAGAUUAACGAGAGCGAGGGGCCGCCGCCCGCGCCGCCGCGGCGCCUCGUUCUCGCCGCCUGUCCCCGUCUCGGCAGCUCCGCCGGCCGGGCGGUCCCCUACUCUAGUACCUCCCCGGUCCCCCACCCUCGCCCCACUCCGUGCCUUCCUCGCCUUCUCCGCCGCUAUUCCCAGACAGGACCUCGUCGGCCUCUCCGCUGCGCCGCCGCGAUGAAGCUGGAGCCCGGCAUGUCGGCCCUCGUCACCGGCGGCGGCUCCGGCAUUGGGAAAGCGCUUUGCAUUGCUCUUGCGCACAAGGGUCUAUUUGUGACUGUCGUCGAUUUCUCUGAAGAACACGGAGGACAAGUUGCGUCAUUUGUUCAAAAGGGAAGCAGCCAGAUUCAUGGAGAUUCUAAAGUUCCAUCUGCUAUGUUCAUCAAGUGUGAUGUUACUGAUGCAGAUGCUCUUGCUGCUGCUUUUGGGAAACAUGUAAACUUGUAUGGUGGAUUAGAUGUCUGCAUCAACUGUGCUGGAUUUGUCAACAAAUCCUUAGUUUAUGAUGAUACAUCCAAUGGAACCAAGACAUGGAGGCGUGCUGUAAAUGUGAACCUUGUUGCUGUUAUUGAUGGUACUCGCAUUGCAACUCAAAUGAUGCGUGCACAGAAGAAGCCUGGUGCCAUAAUAAAUAUUGGUUCAGUUGCUGGCUUAUACCCUAUGCACUAUGAACCCAUAUAUAGUGGGACAAAAGGUGGUGUGAUUAUGUUUACAAGAUCACUUGCUCCAUUAAAACGGCACGGCAUUCGUGUCAAUGUGAUCUGCCCUGAGUUUGUCCAAACAAAUAUGGGAGAACAAGUAAACCGCGUAUUAGUAGAUGCGCUUGGUGGGUUUUUGAAGAUGGAGGAUGUUAUUAAUGGUGCAUUUGAGCUUAUAGAAGAUGAGAGCAAGGCUGGUGCCUGCCUUUGGAUAUCUAAAAGGAGAGGCAUGGUGUACUGGCCAACAUCAGAGGAAGAAAAGAAGUAUUUGGUGUAUGCCACAAAGUCAAAAAUGACAGUAACAAAGAAUAGAUUCCCCAGCAUCCAGACACCUGAAUUCUUCGAGAAGAUAACGGUUCACACGCUCAGCCAUAAUUUCCGCAAUGCUACAAGAAUUGAUCGUGUGCGGCUGAGAUUGCCCAUGGAACCACAUAGUGCUCUUGUUAAAAUAAUAUACGCUGGUGUAAAUGCUAGUGACGUGAACUUCACUUCUGGCCGUUAUUUCAGUGGUAAUGCUAAAGAAGCUUCUGCACACCUUCCAUUUGAUGCUGGUUUCGAGGCUGUGGGAAUUGUUGCUUCUGUUGGAGAUUCGGUGAGACAUAUCAAAGUUGGCACUGCUGUGGCCCUUAUGACCUUUGGGGGCUAUGCCGAAUUUACAGUGGUUCCAGCCAAACAUCUUCUUCUGGUGCCAAGACCAGACCCCGAAGUAGUUGCUAUGCUAACAUCAGGAUUGACUGCUUCAAUUUCUCUUGAAAAGUCAGGUCAAAUGACAUCCGGACAAGUUAUUUUAGUUACAGCUGCUGCUGGUGGGACAGGACAGUUUGCUGUUCAGCUCGCUAAACUAGCUGGCAACAAGGUUAUUGCCACAUGUGGUGGCGGGAAUAAAGCUGCACUUCUGGCUUCAUUAGGGGUUGAUCGAGUCAUCAACUACCAACAUGAAAAGAUAAAAGAUGUUCUGAAAAAGGAGUUUCCAAGAGGUGCAGAUAUAGUUUAUGAAUCUGUAGGCGCUGAAAUGUUUGACUUGUGUUUGAAUGCACUUGCUGUCCGUGGACGCCUCAUUGUAAUUGGUAUGAUCUCUCAGUAUCAAGGAAAGGAUGGAUGGAUGCCACGGAAUUACUAUGGAUUGUGUGAGAAGAUUCUUGGAAAGAGCCAAACUGUGGUAUGUGUAUGCAGUAGAACACUGGAACUACUCAGUUUGCAUGCACUGCAAUAUAUUUGCUGCUUAAUAAUUUGGUCAUGAGGAAAUCAAGCAAGUGCAAUAUUACUGAAGUUAAAGCUGAACGAACCACAACACUGGCUGGAUUUUUCCUGAUUCAAUAUGCCGAUCUGUGGCAAAAACACCUUGACAAGCUUUUCGAUCUGCAUGCGUCUGGGAAGUUAAAGGUUUCCCUUGACCCCAAGAAGUUCGUAGGUGUUGCUUCUGUGGCAGACGCAGUAGAACAUCUCCAUUCUGGCAGGAGCGUUGGCAAGGUGGUUGUCUGCAUGGAUCCAGCAUACAGUCAGACCCUGGCUAAGCUAUAGUCUACACAUAUAUGAGCUGCAAUAUCAAGAUCUCAGAGUAUGAUACCUACAGAAAAUGCAGAGUGAUCUGCGAUAAAUGUGUAGGUUACAAGCCUUGAGGUUCUUCCAACUAUUUUCAUGUCUAUCUGGCGAACCAUAUACCACUAUAUUUCUCAGCGCCACAGUGCUGUUAUAUAUGAGCAUGUUUGUUCGUAGCAAUAUACUUGUAGCACGAUGUGAGUAAAUGAAAGAGCAAUCAAGUUGAGAUCCGCUACAUUAACUGGUCCGGGCGAUCAUAUUCUAUUUGAAUAAAGUGUUAUGUUCGA